rnacentral:rRNA from 1 species
AGCUCCAAUAGUAUAUAUUAGUGUUGUUGCAGUUAAAACGCUCGUAGUUGGAUUUUGGGUCUGGCUCGUGUGGUCCGCCGCAAGGUGUGCACUGCUUGGGUUGGCCUUCCUUCCGAAGACGUUGGCAUGUUCUUAACCGGGUGUGCCAUCUUGGAUUCGGAAACUUUACUUUGAAUAAAUAAGAGUGUUCAAAGCAGGCCUUCGCUUGAAUACGUUAGCAUGGGAUAAUGAAAUAGGACUUGGGUUCUAUUUUGUUGGUUUCUAGGACCGAAGUAAUGAUUAAUAGGGAUAGUUGGGGCCAUUAGUAUUUAAUUGUCAGAGGUGAAAUUCUUGGAUUUAUGAAAGACUAACUUCUGCGAAAGCAUUUGGCAAGGAUGUUUUCAUUAAUCAAGAACGAAAG